CUGAAAAGGGUUGGGGGAGGACAGUCCUUGAGGAUUCUGCAUCCACAUUGAAAAUGUAUAAAUUCUUAUUCCACGGUAAAUGAAAAAUUCUUUUCCACGGAAAAUGAAACCUGGAAACUUGGGAUUGGUUUUUGUAAGGACAUAGUUUACAAAAGGAGGAUAAAGGAGAACUCCAACAGAGGAAAUGCAAAGCUCAAUGAAAAGCUUUGCUUAGAGUCAAAAGAUGAGCCCAAUGUUUUGUCUUAUUUUUUUAUUUUAUAUUGGGGCUUUCCUGGUGGCUCAGAUGGUUAAGAAUCUGCCUGCAAUGUAGGAGACCUGGGUUCGAUCCCUGGGUCAGGAAGAUCGCCUGGAGAAAGGAAUGGCAAUGCAUUCCAGUAUUCUUGCCUGGGAAAUCCCAAGGACAAAGGAGCCUCUUGGGCUACAGUCCAUGGGGUUGUGAAGAGUUGGACACGACUGAGCAACUAGCACGGCCAGUUAACAAUCUCGUGACAGUUUCAGGUGCACAGCAGAGCGACUCUGCCAUACAUAUACACGUAUCCAUUAUCCCCCAAACUCCCCUCCUAUCCAGGCUGCCUCAGUGUUGAGCAGGGUUCCCUGUGCCACACAGUAAUUCCUUGUUGGCUGUCCAUUUUAAAUAUAGCAGUGUGUACAUGUCAUCCCAAACACCCUAACUAUCCCCUGCUGCUGCUGCAGCUGCUGCUGCUAAGUCACUUCAGUCGUGUCCGACUCUGUGCGACCCCGUAGGCGGCAGCCCACCAGGCUACCCCAUCCCUGGGAUUCUCCAGGCAAGAACACUGGAGUGGGUUGCCAUUUCCUUCUCCAAAGCACUAAAGUGAUAAGUGAAAGUCAAGUCGCUCAGUCGUGUCCGACUCUUAGCGACCCCAUGGACUGCAGCCCACCAGGCUCCUCCGCCCAUGGGAUUUCCCAGGCAAGAGUACUGGAGUGGGUCACCAGUGCCUUCUCCGAACUAUCCCCUAGUAACCAUAAAUUCAUUCUCUAAAUCUGUGAGUCUAUUUCUGUUUUAUAAAUAAGUUCAUUUGUAUCAUUUUUUAAGGUUCUGCAUAUAAGGGGUAUCAUAUGACAUUUCUCGUUCUCUGACUUCACUCAGUAUGACAGUCUCUGGUCCAUCCACGGACAUGUUGCUGCAGAUGUCAUUAUUACAUUCUUUGAGUAACAUUCUGUCGUAUAUAUGUAUCACAUCUUUUUCCACUCCUCCAUCAACGGACACUUAGGUCGCUACGUGUGUGUGUGUGUGUGUGUUUAAGCUUGGCAUGCCGGAUCUUAGUUCCACAACCAGGUGUGUGUGUGUGUGUGUGUGUGUGUGUGUGUGUGUGUGUGUUUAAGCUUGGCAUGCCGGAUCUUAGUUCCACAACCAGGGAUCAAACCCAUUGCCCUCUGCAGUGGAAGCAUGGAGUCUUCACCACUGGACUGCCAGGGAAGUGCCUGGUGUUUUUAUGAU
ensembl:lncRNA